CCAUGGCACGGGCUUAUUGAAAUCAAGCAUGGAUCAAAAACUUAUAUCAACGAGCCAUUUGUACUAGCUGCACUAGCUGCUCAAGUGUAUUAUACUCCUUUUCGAUCAAGAAAAAGAGUAAGAAAAGAUUGACAGACUAUAUGCAAAAUUAAAUCUCGAGCCGUUCGUUACGCACUUGAAGAAAAAGAAGAGCCCUAAUUACCAGAAUGCUUUCAAGAGGAUGAGACAGUAGGAGUUCAUCAAUCCUUCGAUGAUGUGGAAAUGGAUGCUCCAGAAAUUUUCUUACGUGAAGAUGGUCAACAUGAGGAGGUAGAUCCAACUGAGAUAAUUUUAAAGGAUAAUUCUCCCCAAGAAGGGGAAGAAGAGGAAGA
rnacentral:lncRNA from 1 species